CGGGCUCGCCACUGGGGGGCGCCGGGAAGAUGAACAUAGGCGGCGCCAGCAGGGCAGGUCUCUACACUCAGGCUCCACCCCUCUCCCCAAACUCUGCCUUGGCUCCUCCACCCAGAAGACUCCACUCACUGACUCCUUCAGCCCGACCAAGUUCACACCGCAGCCCCCUGGGCCCAGGGCAGGGCGGGGAACGGCCGUAGCAGAAAAUAACGGAAAAGAACGGGGAUGAGGGCUGGCUGCCUCUUUCUGCAAGACUGACUGUCCUUCCUCUGCGAGCCCGGGCCUAUCCACCGUGGACCCGCCCCUUCCAUGACGCACCCUCUUGCCGGCUCCUCACUCAGACUCUUCAACCCCGCCCCCUGGAGAAGGCACCCUGCUCGCCCCACCCCUUUUCAAACCCUGCCAGGCACACGGCCCCUCCCAUUUAGAGCCCAAAUCCGAGACCACCCUCUUUAGGGGCCAGAGACCAGGCCCUAACUCAGUGCCCUCUUCUCCUUCGAACCAGGGACAAAUGGGGCAGAGGAGUGGGAAACUGGGGGAUCUCCUCUGGAUCCUGAGGAAAUGGGGCUGGGGGGUUAUUCCUUGAAGCUGAUGCCGGGCUCUAGGACCCAGCGGGCAAGCGUGCCCGCCUCGCUCUCACCCCUCCCCCAACCGCCCCCUC